rnacentral:misc_RNA from 1 species
GAUGAAGAACGUAGCGAAAUGCGAUACUUGGUGUGAAUUGCAGAAUCCCGUGAACCAUCGAGUCUUUGAACGCAAGUUGCGCCCGAAGCCAUCAGGUUGAGGGCACGUCUGCCUGGGCGUCACAUAUCGUUGCCCAAUGCCUAUUGCAGUGCAAUAGGAAUUUCUAGGGCGAAUGAUGGCUUCCCGUGAGCGUUGUUGCCUCGCGGUUGGUUGAAAAUCGAGUCCUUGGUAGGGUGUGCCAUGGUAGAUGGUGGUCGAGUUAGAACGAUACCGAUCAUGUGCAUGCUCCCCAAAAUAUGGCCUCUAUGACCCACACGCGUCUUUUGACGCUCAUGACGAGACCUCAGGUCAGGCGGGGCUACCCGCUGAAUUUAAGCAUAACAAUAAGCGGAGGA